CCGAGGGUGCCUGCGACGCUCAAUGAAAGCCAGCCUCACUCGCCCCAGCAGCAAAACCCCUGCGAGGAGCAGCAGCGGGUUCCCACUCGAAGCGCUGUAGAAUAGAUAGCGAAGCGUGUGAGGAAAAAAGUGCGUUGAAAUUCUGCCGCUGAGUCUCAGCAAAGGGCUGGAAGGUCACAGCAGGUGGCAGCCGGUGCGUGCAUCCCCCGUUGGCGAGGUUGGGUCCCCUCGCAAGUGAACAACUGCCGCGGUGGGCUGUCCUGCUCUGCCUGUGCUGCUCGGCUGGGCUGAAGAAGCCCGCAGCUGGAAUCCUAAAGGCAAGCCCUGCCGAUGUUCUUCACCAUGCAUUAACAGGAAGGCUCGUGACAGCCUCUGGGAGCAACGGCAGUGCAGGGAAGUCGGGCGAAGCACAGAGCGCAAGGUGUGUCUCAGAACCUUGGCACAAAGGAUCCGUUAAGGGACAGUUAAGGGAGUUCCCUCCCUCCAGGCAGACAUCUGCUGCCCUCCGGCCUUGCCUCCACGUUGCCCUCAUAUCCCGGUGUUUUCUAUACAUCCUCACAAAGUGUGUUUGCCAAAUAGAGGAGGAUAAAAUUGGCAGGUGGAAACAUUUUGUUUUCCGUCUGCUCUGGGAUUGCAAAUAUUGUGUCACAACACGCUGACUGCAAGUGGCAGUUGCUUGGUUUUUUAUUGGCACUGGUUGCGAGAUGUUAGCAUUGAUCUUAAAGGUUGUAUAAACUUUGCAAUUUAGGUGGAGUUGCCACUUCUGUUAUUAAUUCCUGGUGGAUCGGUUGAAUGCAAAAUAUUUGCUUUGAGAUUACCUUUGCUAUGUAGCCUGUCAACUGAGAGGAAGAUUUGUUCAAGAAGUAACAAAAAAACCUUCCCUGUGAGUUGUUGGCAUCUUUUGAUUUACAGACGUGCACCUGAAAUGCUAUUUUUAUAGAGCUGUGUGGCACUGUAGGGAUCUGGGUGCUCCGGAGGAGCCAGAGCUCUGUGCCCAGAGAUCUGGGGAAGGGCUGUUCUGCCCAGGUCCUGCCCUGCUGCACCUGCUAGGGCAGAGCAUUGGGUUCACCCCAGCCUGGUGCUGCUGCUGCUCUGCAGGCUGGGAAGCUUCCCUUCAUGUCAGAGGGAUGUUGUUCCACCUCCCACCCCGUGCUUUCUGGCCACGAUUGAAUUACUUUCAUUUUUGGUGCAGGAUGCACGAUAAGAAAAUAAAACAACGAUCCUGCCGCAGUGAGAUGAAGUGCAGAGCGUAGCCUGCUGUGACAAAGGUUUCCCACCAGCCCAGCCCAGUUUUUGUCUAUCUGGAGAAAGGAUGAACUCCCUGGUGCUCUCAGCUCAGCCUCCUGCUAAUGAGCACCCUGCAUUUUACCUGGGAAAUAUGAAAAAUUACAAAGGAAGGUCAGAGAUUAGGUAAAAGAGUUGAGCUAAGGCAGCGUGAAACCACAGGCAGCAGUGAAAGAUUUAUUUUGCUGGAUUUAUAUCAGCUCUUUAGGCCAGAUUCCAGGUCUUGCAGCUACAAUUCACGGUGGAAAACACUGCAGCUGGGCUCUUCAUCCGAGCCGGCAUGGGAGCUUUAUCACCCUUGUCCAGUUGGAUGCUGCUCCUUAUUUGCCAGCCCAGCCAAUGGUGAUUAAAUGGCAUUUCUCAGCGUGCAGGUUGGAGCAUUAUUAGCUCUUAUCUCUAAUUGCCAUCGUUUUGAAAGUGUUUUGAACAGAUGGCUGUAAGAGAAUAAGAGUGAAAAGAGAUCUUUUUAUACCUUUGACUAGCAAAAAGUGCUUGCUGGGAUGCUAGCUCAAACUUGUGGGGUUAAAUGUGGGGAAAAUGGACCAAGUACGACCCUGGCUUCUGCAGGGGAGGCAUCGAGGGAUAGCAGGGACACCCAGACUACCCAGGACUGUUCCUCACUCACUGCCUGUUUGCUGCUAGGGGUGCUGUGAUUCACCUUGCACUGCUGAGCACAUCCCUUUGCCACACGUCUACCUGCACCGCAGGGAAGGAUUCAGCCCACUCCAGUCACCUGCAGUGUGGUCAGGCUUUGUGUUCACCUACUGUUCCAGGUGCACCUGUAUUAAAUCAUUGCCAUUCAAGCAAUCAAGCUCAUUACUAGAUUAUGUGUUAUAGGAUCUGGGUGCAUAAGCCCUUAGCACAAAAAAAAUUCUCUUAUUUUGCUAACUACCUAAACAUAAAACUGCAAAGAAAGAAAUUGUUCCCGUGACUCAUAUUUUUCAUCAUUUGGUCAUUAAAUAGUGAUGGAUAUGAACCUAUAAAGUACCUAAACCGAACCUUUUAACAAUCCAUGAGCAAUACUAUCAUUUCUUUAAUAGAACUUGCUGGCCGUGCCUUUCUCAGAUGCCAUUUGUCAUUUUCAGCAUGCAAUAAUCAAUAACUUGGCUUUGAAAUAAAUAAUAUAACAGUCACAAUAUAUUAUCAUUCAGGCUGGCCUUAUACUAACCGUAAGACAAGACUUGGAGAGAUGAAAACUUUAGGUAAAUGCCAAAAAUGAAAUAACCGGAGCUAAAUGAACAAGAAGCUUUGCCUAGUUUUGCUUCCAAAUUAAUUUGGACUUUCCUCGUAUUUAGGAAACAGCAUCUUCUGGAUCAUCUGACUUCAGGCUGGUGACAACUGCCAUCCCCUGGAUCCCUUUGCCACAGAGCUGAUACAGCAUCGCUCUCCCAGCUCCAGCAAGAUUGCAAUAACCUCUGGCCAACCUUGGCUGCUGAUUUUGAACUUCUAACCAAAAGUAAGCCUGCAGUUUCAUUUCUGAGCUGGGAACAACUUGAUUGCAGGAAGUGGAAGAAAACAGGGGCAGAAUCGAAUGCUACAAUUAGGGUGAUGAUCUGUGAGAGGAUGGGCUGGAAGGAAUCUUUAAGACCCCCGAAGACAGUUGGAGUCUGUAGAGCAUUUAUCACAGGUGACACCAGCACGUGAAUCUAAAAGUAGUGCCUCUGAUGCUGCGUGUAUAUGACUGAUAUUAAAAAUGACUGAUAUAACAGAAAGCGUUUCACCUCUGUUGCCAGCCAGGAAGGUAGGUCUCCAGUAUUCUCAGACUUAAAUGCUGCCAGUAUUUCACGUUAGGAUAGUCAUAAAGUUAAAGGUUAAUAGGCUGUACAAAUGACAGAGUUUAAGGGAAAAAAUGAAGAUGGGAAGAUUUCUAGCACUUAGGGAACAUUUUAAAAAUGAAGCUCCUCUGUCUAAUGUAAUUUUUCCUAUAUUCUUUCUCACACUGUUGAUCAUUAUUGAAAAUAUUUCUAUUUGCAUAAGUGAUUUCUCCUUCACUGCCCACCUCCGUUUGCUUUUUGGAUGAUCACUACUUCCCACAGUACAUGAUGAGUCAUAAUCCUGCUGCCUGCCAUAACAGUCUGCUGCCACAAGAAUGUAAUGGGGCUAAAUUAAAGCCAUAGCCUUGGAGGGAGGAUGGAAGGGAGAGAUGGGAAUGAGAAAGGCUUUUAUUUAAUUGCGAGCCAUUAGAACUUGCAGGUUGAGGAGAGGGGCAAACACAUGCAUUGCUGGAAAUGGAAUUUGGAUGUGUUGUUGAGAUUAGCUCAACGGGUGUUGUGAGUGACAAAAAAACUUAUUUCUGUGUGAGCUUUGCUGCCAUGAAUGGCAGGGAUUCCUUUCCGUGAUGCCAGCACUAGAAAUGAGACUCUAAUGGCGAGAUUAACGUGACUAAGACAAAUAUUGUUACAAGGAGACUUCCAGUUAUCAUGUUUGCUUCUGUACUGAUGAAGAGAAAUUCUCCCUUGAUUCCUAUGGAGGCCUUGUAGAGCAACUGGGAAAGGCCAUUGUUUGAGCAUUGUCUCUUGUGGCACUCUGGGAAUGAAACUGCAGCAAAGCACGGCUCUUCAAAACGUGCGUUCUCCAAAUGUUCUUCUCUCAGUCUGAUCAGUGCCUGCUGAUUCUCAGGAAAAAAUAGUGUGAAUGGUGCUGCUGAGAUCGAGAUCGAUCUUUUCAAUUGUUUCCCAGGUACAUGUAGUACACACAUUAUAGUGCUAAGCUCUGACAAGCAAUUGGCAAUGAGUGAAGGCACCUUCAAGUCAACAUUUGUUCUUACUGCUUUCUUCAUGUAUGAAAGGGAGUCACCCAGGUAGUGCUGAAUUCUGGGUGUGCACAGAAUCUCCCACUCCUUGCGAGGCAAGUAAGAGGCACUGCUAGGCUUUGACAUUUGGUGGCCCCAAGCAGUACUACAGCUUUUCUUCCUCUGUGUUCUUCAGCUAGCUUUUAGUUUUCUCCAACAUGUCCUUAAAAACCUUCUGGACCUGAGAUAUACAGAAGAAGUUAGAUAUUCUUGAUUUACUGGGUUCUGAGCAACGAAGAGUUAUGAAAUAAGUAUGGCUGCUGGGCAAAAACCUCUACUGCUCUGGAGCUGAAAUGAAAUAGAGAAAGUACCUUCGUGCUCCCUCUGGUAAUGAAUUCUAUGCCUAUUCUUCAGGACCAGACCUUUCAUCUGCACAGAAGCCUGAGGUUGUAGGAGAUGCUCCAUACACAGCUGUUAGGAAGACCAGAAUGUCAGGCUUCACAUUCCCUGUGCAUGGGUCAAGGUAAAACUCUCUAUGGCAAAUGUUUUAAGGAUUACAGAGGCUCUCGGUGUCCUCUAGCAGUACCUUGGUACUGCAGUGGAGCUUUCUCAUGCUCUGUAGCACAACACAUAUUUACACAGCUCUGUGAAAUUUCUAGGACUGUUGAAUGGUGACAUGCCAAUUUCUUCCUCCUUCACUGCAGUAUCUAUUUUCUAGUCUUCAGUUUCUGCUGUGCUAUAUGUCUUCUUAGCACUAUCGUAUUAAUUUAAUAGAACACAAGAUCAUGAAAGCUCAUGUUUACAAUAUGUGUAAGUACUGUAUUUAUUUUGCAUGCGACAUUGGAAAGAAUGUGAUAAAAAUAUUUUAAGAAAUGAAAGCAAAG